GACGAACGCUGGCGGCGUGCUUAACACAUGCAAGUCGAACGGAAAGGCCCUGCUUUUGUGUACUCGUCUGGUGACCGGCUGAUUAAUAACUCAUUAAUCUACUCCCCUUUUUUGUAUAAUUUCUUCAGACUACUGCUGCUACUACCUAGUAGCUCCUCCUGCUUCGUGGUGGUUGCUAAGUUUUGGCGGCUGGGGAUGGACUCCCGGCUUAUCAGCUUGUUGUUGGGGUAGUGGUUCAUCAAGGCGUUGACGGGUAGCCGGCCUGAGAGGGUGAGAGGCCACAGGGGGAAUGAGAUACGGCCGAGACUGCUACGGGAGGCAGAAGUGGGGAAGAUUGCACAAGGGGCGGAAGCCGGAUGCAGCAACGCCGCGUGCGGGAUGACGGAAUUCGGGUUGUAAACCGAUUUCGCCUGUGACGAAGCGUGAGUGACGGUAAUGGGUAAAGAAGCACCGGCUAACUACGUG
rnacentral:rRNA from 1 species